UACGUAGGUGGCAAGCGUUGUCCGGAUUUACUGGGUGUAAAGGGCGUGUAGCCGGGCUGACAAGUCAGAUGUGAAAUCCGGGGGCUCAACCCCCGAACUGCAUUUGAAACUGGUGGUCUUGAGUAUCGGAGAGGCAGGCGGAAUUCCUAGUGUAGCGGUGAAAUGCGUAGAUAUUAGGAGGAACACCAGUGGCGAAGGCGGCCUGCUGGACGACAACUGACGGUGAGGCGCGAAAGCGUGGGGAGCAAACAGG
rnacentral:rRNA from 1 species